UNCNNACUCUUGNNNCNNCAGAAUUCGCUAGAGAUAGCUUAGUGCCUUCGGGAACUGUGAGACAGGUGCUGCAUGGCUGUCGUCAGCUCGUGUUGUGAAAUGUUGGGUUAAGUCCCGCAACGAGCGCAACCCUUAUCCUUUGUUGCCAGCGCGUAAUGGCGGGAACUCAAAGGAGACUGCCGGUGAUAAACCGGAGGAAGGUGGGGAUGACGUCAAGUCAUCAUGGCCCUUACGAGUAGGGCUACACACGUGCUACAAUGGCGUAUACAAAGAGAAGCGAACUCGCGAGAGCCAGCGGACCUCAUAAAGUACGUCGUAGUCCGGAUCGGAGUCUGCAACUCGACUCCGUGAAGUCGGAAUCGCUAGUAAUCGUAGAUCAGAAUGCUACGGUGAAUACGUUCCCGGGAA
rnacentral:rRNA from 1 species